rnacentral:lncRNA from 1 species
GGAUGAAGUUAUAGUGCUACAGCAGAGUGAGCAGCGAGGGCUGGCAUCAAGUGGUAGCAUGCAUGAAGUUCAGAUUGAGGAUUCUGCGGCAGCAGAUCGGGUGGUGGCAGGUAUCAUUUUGAUUUCUGGUAUUUAAGUUUGUGCAUUAGUUGAUACCUGUGCAUCAUAUUCUUUUAUUAGCUGAGUAUUGAUAUCAUUGCAUGGUAUAGAGGGAGGGCCGUUGUUGCAU